rnacentral:rRNA from 1 species
GACAGAGGUCUCGAGCGUUAGGCGGAAUCACUGGGCUUAAAGCGUGUGUAGGCGGAUGCCUAAGUACCUUGUGAAAUCCCACGGCUCAACCGUGGAACGGCUUGGUAUACUGGGUGUCUUGAGCCAUCUAGGGGCAACUGGAACAAACGGUGGAGCGGUGAAAUGCGUAGAUAUCGUUUGGAACGCCAAAGGUGAAAACAGGUUGCUGGGGAUGUGCUGACGCUGAGACACGAAAGCCAGGGGAG